GAGUUUGAUCUUGGCUCAGAACGAACGCUGGCGGCAGGCCUAACACAUGCAAGUCGAGCGCUCCGCAAGGGGAGCGGCAGACGGGUGAGUAACACGUGAGUAACCUGCCCUGGGGUCUGGGAUAACGUUUCGAAAGGGACGCUAAUACCGGAUGAGCCCCCGAUACCGGAUGGUUUCGAGGGAAAGCAGCAAUGUGCCUUGGGAUGGGCUCGCGGCCCAUUAGCUAGUUGGUGAGGUAAUGGCUCACCAAGGCCGAGAUGGGUAGCCGGUCUGAGAGGAUGAUCGGCCACACUGGAACUGAGACACGGUCCAGACUCCUACGGGAGGCAGCAGUGGGGAAUAUUGCGCAAUGGGGGAAACCCUGACGCAGCAACGCCGCGUGGGUGAAGAAGGUCUUCGGAUCGUAAAGCCCUGUCGGGAGGAAGAAUUCUGCAUGGUGAGUGCAGUUGACGGUACCUUCGAAGGAAGCACUGGCUAACUCCGUGCCAGCCG
rnacentral:rRNA from 1 species